UUUCUUUGGUAAGUAAUUGAGGCCAUGUGUAUUAGGACACAUCCAACAGAUAGCAAUAUUCAUGUACACACAUAUGCCUUCUUUAUGCUAAACCUCAGUUUGUGCUGUUGUUAUUGUCGAUAAUAACAUCGUUGUUUCGCAGCAUGUAUUGUUCAUGCUCAAUGUAGAUGUCGAUGCUGCAUUGCGUGUUUUUUGCAUCACAUUGAUUGGUUUCAUCCCCAAUAUCCCAAAAUCCUGGAAUGCUGUUUUCUGGCUUUUGGAUUUGAGACCUCCAUGGAUCCGUGUGGCUAUGAUGGCUCUCUUUUGUACAGUUUUAGGGCUUUGAGGCAGUGGUUUCGAGGCCCUAUGCUAGGAACCUUAGUUUGCAAUGGUUAUGCCGCGUCCAAAUCGAGGUUUAUUAUACUUCUGUGAGGUGGGUUGGAUCUCCAAGUUGUGGACACUCGGUGCUGGUAUUAUGUUUGAAGGUGGAGGCUGUGAAGGAGGCAAUUCAAUCAGCGGUGAGAUUGCUGCUGAAGGAUGGGGUUCACAACUGUGACUCAGAUACUCUUACUCUGGCUCUGGUGUUUUGCUAUUAUACUCCGUCGGGUAUGGAGUGAGGGGACUGUGCAUGAAGCGGCUUAGUGUACCAGUUGCAAACAAGUUUUUCGUCCUUGUGUUCACUAGGUGAAUCAACAUACCAAUUAAUUUUUGAAAUCGUUUUGCGUCGACCUACGGGGAGCUUUCUUCUCUAUCCAGAUGACGUCCCUCGACCAUGGGUAUUGAAGAUGGAGCACAUUCCUCCAUUCCGAAUUCUUUCAGGAUUUGCAAUGCGUAGGCCUUUUGGGAUAGGAGGAUGCCAUGCAUUUGGAAUACAAAUUCCACUCCCAGGUAGAAGCUGAUUUUUUUCCAGGUCUGUCAUUUUAAACUUUUGCAUGAGUUGAGUUUUGAUCUGAGAAAUCUUGUUCCUGUCUGAUCCUGUGAGCAAUAGAUUGUCAACAUAUAGUAUGAGCAGUAUAACUUCACCUGAAUCCCAAAGAUAAUAUAGGUUGUAGUCAAAUUCUGUACUUGAGAAUCCGUGGAGAAGAAGGUGUUAAUUUUUUCAAACCACACGCGCGGAGCCUGUUUUAAUCCAAAUAGAGAAUUUUUUAGGCAGCAAACUUUUGUUCCUGUCGUGGAAUCGCAGAAAUUGUCCAGAACUUCCAUGUACAUUGUUUCUUUUAGGUCGCCAUUGAGAAAGGCAGAUCUGACAUCAAGGUCGAGCAAGGGCCAAUUGUAACUUGCUGCUAGUGAGACAGUGAGACGCACGGCUUUCCAUUUUGCAACGGGGGCGAAUACCUCGUCGUAGUCGAUCCCUUUGAUUUGCUGAAAGCCUCGAGCUACAAGACAGGCUUUGAGUUUGCAUGGUAAGCCGUUCGCUUCUUUUUUAAUUUUAUAUACCCACUUGGCAGUUACGAUGAAUGCUCCGGAUAGGAGCUCGCAUAGCUCCCAUGUUUGAUUUUUGAUAAUCGAAACUUGCUCUUGUUUUAUUGUGGCCCGCUAUUUGGAGCUUGAGUUGGCGUUAGUGAAAGUAAUGGGAUUGGCUGGUUCCUCCGUAAUGUCAAAGAAUCACUUGAUAUUUACGGAAUGAGGAUUUUUGAGGGCGCCACAGAGUAGGUGACACUGUCUUUGAGCCGCAAUGGAGGUUCUUUUAUUUGAGCAGGGCGUUGGCGCCAAGGAUAUUGCUGUGUUGGGGUUGGAUUAGAGGAUUCUAAUGUGGACAGUCGUGAGUUGUUGGUAGCGAAUGGAUUUGUGAGCUCUGGAUUGGCAUGUCAGUGAGUUCUUCCCCCAGACGGUUGAUUGAGUUGUGUAGAUCACCGGACGGUGUGUUUUAAGUUUCCUCCGUGAAUGCUGUAUCCUGAGGCGUCAUGUUUCAUCUAGAGCGGCUGUCGGGUAGAGUAUUCUCUGGUGACUGUGGAGCUGGUGGGCUAAGUUGUAAAGGGGAGUUGAAGUUAGUUGCAGGACUUUUACUGGUUUUGAGCCGGGGUGUCAAUGAGUGCGAUUGUGAGAUCUCUCUAACAGUCAUACUGCGUCCGACAUUGAGUAGCUUGCGAUUGGCGCGUUCGACUAUCCCAUUUUGUUCUGGGGUAGCCGCGUUGGUGAGUUCUUCUCUUAUGCCUGUGGAUGCACAAAGAUCAGCAAAUUGGUGGAAAAGAAAUUCUCCUCCCUGGUUGCUCCAAAUACAUUUGAUCUUGCGGUUGUAUUGGACCUCGACCAUGUUCUUGAAUAAGUAAAAUCGUUCGAAGGCUUGAGACUUUAGGCAUAAGAAGAAAGUCCAGAUAUAGCAGCUAAAAUCAUCUACAGUAACGAACAUAUCGUUGGAUCCGCCUGAGAGGUCACGGGGAAGGGGCCGCAAAGGUCGAGGUGUAGAAGAUCCAGUGCGUUGGGUACUGGUGACGUGCUGAUUUUUGGUAGGCUUGCUUGUGUUUGUUUUCCCUUGAUACAUGCUUCGCAAGUUUUUGAAUGAACCGGGAUAUAGGAGAGUCCGAUAACCAUGUUGUUUGAUGCGAGCUCGUGAAGGCGAGCGAAACUAAGGUGCCCGAGGUGGUGAUGCCACAGUCUGAUUGUGUGUAGGUCGAUGCUGGUUAUAUUCAUCGCGAGAUCUGGUGGACGGGAUGAGAGUUGAUAUAAACUAUUUUCGUUGCUGUGAAAUCCUUCUGCUACGAUCUUCUUGUGAUCUUUGUUGUACAGAAUGCACUUUUGAUUGCCGAAGCAUGCUAUGAUGCGAUCUGUAAAGGACCCGAUUGAUAAAAGAUUCUUCGAUAGACUUGGUACGUAGAGAACCCCGGGAAUUUAACCUGGUGGGAGUUUAAAGUGAACACUGUCCCUACUGGUAAUUGGAUGAUUUUGACCAGCGGCGGUUUUAACAGUUUCGUUGAAGUUUUCUAUGCUAUCAAAGCUCUGUAGGUCGCCGGUCACAUACUGAGUGGCUCCGCUGUCGGGAUACUAGUUGAAGUCAAAAUGAUAAGUGUUCAGCGACGGGAUGGCUACUUCGAAGACCUCUUUAUUUAACUCGUUAGCGAUGAAUGGGGUGUUGAUUGAGAGAUCUUGUGGAUUUGGCCACUCGAGUUCUUCUUGAGCGAAAUUUAUUGAGGGAGGUCUGAUGCCGAGUUUGAUCAUUCCUUCAGAUUUAAGUUUUCGGAUGUCUACCAGGCAUUUAGGGCACAUGUGCUUAAGUUGUCGGAGCUUUCCGCAGUAGUGACAUUGUCUAAGCUGGAUUUGGGACAUGUUGUUUUCAUGUCCCUAUGUGGUGUAGUGAGUGGUGCUAAAUUUGGAAGGAACAACGUUGGAUCCCUUCAUGUCUCGAUUGUAAUGUGUAUAGUUUCGGUUUCCAUGGAAGUAGAGUGCCUCGGUGGUCGCUGGUUUGAGCCUCGAUCUGGUUUGACGUCGGCUUUCUUCAAGCAUUAAUUGAAACUGUAACUGAUCCAGAGUGGGGUAUCCUCCAUUGCUGGUGUAGUAAUUUAGAAAGUAGUCGAAUGAGUCGGGUAAUUCUUCACCACUACUUGUACCAGAUCUGGAUCGUUAAUGCGAACACCAAUGGUCGAAAGUUCUGCAAGGAUCUGGUGGAACUAAGAGAAAUAGUUCUCAACACCUAGUUCUUCCGAGAGCAUGAUCAGAUCGAGGCAAUUUUUGAGAUCGAACUUCCUGUUGUCGUUUGCGUUUUUGAAGGAUCUUUGCAGAGAAUCCCAUAGGGCCUUCGGUUCCUGGAAGUUAGUGAGAACAAGAAGGUUUGGUCGGAUAGAUAUGGUUAAGUUGUACAUAAGCCGUUCUUGCUUAUCCUUACUUGAUUCGUCUCGAUCAGUUUCUGGUUUUGUGGAGGUACUAGUGGUUGGUGACAGAAUAUCUCAGAGCUUGUCUUGCUUAGCGAUUCUGGUGAUCAUAUAUUUCCAGAGAUGGAAAUUCAAUGCUAGCUUGACUUCAUCAAAAAUAGUGCUAUCUUUUGACAUGGUGAAAGGGGACAGUAGGACUAGUAAACAAAAAACAAUGCUGUUACAAAAAUUGGAUGAACAACAUUCUCUUGUGAAGGAGAAUGUGCCGGAAGCCAAGGCGAGAGCACUUCCAAUGUCUCAGUUACGAGUUGGAUAAGUCACAACUUUUUGUACAUAGAAUUGGAACAUUCAACACUCUAUUUAAGGGGGACUUAAUUCUUUAUUGAAACAAGAUCUAACAUAUAUUUAAAAGUUAAAAACUUAUCUCUAGGAAAAGGUUUUUUUGAAGAUGUUUGUUGCCAUUUUCUCCAUAGAACAAUAUUUCAAAUCAAUUUGUCUUUUUUCUACACAUUGUUCAAUAAAAUGAUGUCCUAUUUCUCAA